AGAGUUUGAUCAUGGCUCAGGAUGAACGCUGGCGGCGUGCCUAACACAUGCAAGUCGAGCGAUUCUCUUCGGAGAAGAGCGGCGGACGGGUGAGUAACGCGUGGGUAACCUGCCCUGUACACACGGAUAACAUACCGAAAGGUAUGCUAAUACGAGAUAAUAUGCUUUUAUCGCAUGGUAGAAGUAUCAAAGCUCCGGCGGUACAGGAUGGACCCGCGUCUGAUUAGCUAGUUGGUGAGGUAACGGCUCACCAAGGCGACGAUCAGUAGCCGACCUGAGAGGGUGAUCGGCCACAUUGGAACUGAGACACGGUCCAAACUCCUACGGGAGGCAGCAGUAGGGAAUAUUGCGCAAUGGACGGAAGUCUGACGCAGCGACGCCGCGUGAGCGAUGAAGGUCUUCGGAUCGUAAAGCUCUGUCCUUGGGGAAGAAGGCGAAAGCUUGACGGUACCCAAGAAGAAAGCCCCGGCUAACUACGUGCCAGCAGCCGCGGUAAU
rnacentral:rRNA from 1 species